AGUCACUUCUGUGUCCCCUACAAGAUUCUCUCUACUGCCGCAGGCAGCGGGAAGCCGGAAAAGUAAGCCUGUGUCUCUGCAGGAGCCACCUAACUGCACCAGGACUCACGGAGAGGGAAAUGAAAUGACACCAACUCUGAGUGAAUAGGAGUUCCGACGCAGGAGAACCAGUGUGAAUGGAAGUAGGACGAGAUAACAUAAAAUUAAUUUCUUUCCAUUGAAAAGUCAUAUGGAAUUUUACCUUACUGAACCCAUGAUCUCAAGAAAAUUUCCUGCUGUUUUCCUCUGAAAUGCUUGUCAGAUACUAAUUCAACAGCACACGAGAGGAUGACAGAGCAAUCACCAUCUUCAGCUUAGCUUCAGUGUCAAGACGUCGCAUUGCUGUCGUGAGACAGCGCUGCUCAAGUUGAAUUAUUUGACAUAUGAAGAAACUGGAAUCUAUGAACUGACUGACUCACCCAGGUUUGCUGUUUGUGGCAAAAGUGCAGUUGCAGUCCUGGCAUCUACACUCCUGUCUUGGUCUGAGGAUCUUCUGAAGAGGGCCCAAGGCAGGGAUUCAAAGGCCAGGAGUUUACUUGGAAGAUCCUCCUGGAGAAUAAGGACUAAACUAAGCAGGGAAGUAAAGGAAGCUGAAGAAGUGUGCAUAACCAGGCGUGCUGCCACCGUGGGCAACUGGAGAUUCAUUCUGCUGGGACCCGUGUCAACUGGACAACUCAGAGUUGUCUCAUCCAAGGGGUGAGGGAGAGGAGGCAUUUAUCUACCAACUCCUAACAGUUCUUGGUUUGGAGCUGAACUGGAGGUGAAGAGCCUCAGUAUCUCCCACCUAUUGUAGAAACAGCAAAUCCCUAGGAACCAGGAGAAGCCCCCAGGCACAGAGAUGCAGGUGCCAGCCAUUGAAGUUAUGUCGCAUGUGCUAAAAUAACAAAAGCCAAAGAAAUGGGGCAGCUAAAACUCCUAACUCCAGUCUGUGUCUGCAUUUUAAUGGAUCAGAAAUGUACUAUGGCCAGAUUGAGAAAAGGGAAGACCAUUUAUUCCUCUAAUCUACAACUCAGCUCUUUUUCCCCUCAAGUUUAGCUCUGAUAGGCAGACUCUCAAAAAUGUUACCCCUUAAAGAGAGGAUGCUUACUACCCAUGAAAUUACCCAAAUAAUUCAGGAAAGUAUGAUCAGACAAGGAGAAUGAAAAUGACUUCAGUUCCAGUGUUGUUAUAAAAUGUUUUACGUCCAAAUUCCUCAGAUAUGAGUCAGAUUAUGUGAGUACUGCAAGAAAAAUAUACAUUUAUGUCUUUUUCACAGCAAACUUCAUGGCAAUUAAGUCAAAUAAACGCUUAAGGGAUCUCA
rnacentral:lncRNA from 1 species